rnacentral:rRNA from 1 species
GCUUAACACAUGCAAGUCGAGCGGUAACAUGACUAGUAGCAAUACUAGUUGAUGACGAGCGGCGGACGGGUGAGUAACACGUAGGAACUUGCCCAGUAGUGGGGGACAACCAAGGGAAACUUUGGCUAAUACCGCAUACUCUCGAGAGAGGAAAGCUGCCGCAAGGUGGCGCUAUUGGAGAGGCCUGCGUCCGAUUAGCUAGUUGGUAGGGUAAAAGCCUACCAAGGCGAGGAUCGGUAACUGGUCUGAGAGGACGACCAGUCACACUGGGACUGAGACACGGCCCAGACUCCUACGGGAGGCAGCAGUGGGGAAUCUUGGACAAUGGGGGCAACCCUGAUCCAGCGAUGCCGCGUGAGUGAAGAAGGCCUUCGGGUCGUAAAGCUCUUUAGGCUGGGAAGAAGGUUGGUAGUUUAAGAGAUAAUCAAUUUGACUGUACCAGCAGAAUAAGCACCGGCAAACUCUGUGCCAGCCGCCGCAGUAA